GAUGAACGCUGGCGGCGUGCUUAACACAUGCAAGUCGAACGAUAAAGCCCAGCUUGCUGGGUGGAUUAGUGGCGAACGGGUGAGUAACACGUGAGUAACCUGCCCUUGACUCUGGGAUAAGCCCGGGAAACUGGGUCUAAUACCGGAUAGGAGCGCCUGUCGCAUGACGGGUGUUGGAAAGAUUUUUCGGUCAUGGAUGGACUCGCGGCCUAUCAGCUUGUUGGUGAGGUAAUGGCUCACCAAGGCGACGACGGGUAGCCGGCCUGAGAGGGUGACCGGCCACACUGGGACUGAGACACGGCCCAGACUCCUACGGGAGGCAGCAGUGGGGAAUAUUGCACAAUGGGCGGAAGCCUGAUGCAGCGACGCCGCGUGAGGGAUGACGGCCUUCGGGUUGUAAACCUCUUUCAAGUAGGGAAGAA
rnacentral:rRNA from 1 species